rnacentral:lncRNA from 1 species
CUGAAUUUUGUUUUUAAAGUUUCAAAUAGUUUAUUGCAGAAAUUGUAAGUUAAAAUUUCUACAUUUCUCAUCUUAAAAUCCUUCGAGGGCAUAGACCUACAUUUGUGUACUCAUUCUUUAUUUUUGUUAAAUAAUAGAUAUAUAUGUAUACUGCAACUAUUUAUGUCAACAUUAAAAGUAAUUUCAUAGAUGAGAGAGAAUCACAUAAAUGAGAAUCGGAACAAAACUUUAUCCCCACCCAUGCCAAAUUGGAAACCUUUUAUGAUUUAUUUUGGUGGAAUAAACAGGAAUUCUAAAAGAAAAUACAUACAUAAUCAUAAAAUUGCAAAUUAAAGCACAAGUAAAAG